GACGGCAUGGGUUAGUGUCAGAAUACUGAUUUGUUACAAAAUUAAAAUAGAUAUUUAUAAAACUCAGCGUGGAAAUUUAUUUUCGCCAUACGAGUAUAUUAUAUAGUUCCGGAGAUUCAGAUAUGGUUUCUGGAUUUUAAUAGGUCGAGGCAAAUGUUGCUUUCCUUUGCCAAGUUGCUGAGGAAAGAGGAGCGUGCCCUUGAGCGUGGCAGGCUGAUGUAAGAGACGGGUCUUCUCUUCGUCCAGUUCGGGACGCUUUCACGGCCAUUGUUACGAGUUCCAACCCAAAUGCUAAUUUUGACUGCAGCAGACUUUUUCUGUCGUCUGUCUUGUUCGUCAGGCGGAAUGCAGAGGAGUUAAUUCGGAGGAAUAAACAUCGUCUGUGGCAGCAGGUAUGUGUUGGCCCUUUGAAAACCUUUGAAAACCUUUGAAAACCUUAGGAAAUCCUUUGGAAACCCUUAGAAAACCCUUAGGUAGCCCUUAAGAAGCUCAUAGUUUACUUGUAGAACAAGUUUUGUCAUUGUCAUAGAUCGGUAACCUUUUGCUUUUGUCACAUUUAUAAUGAAUAAUUUUAAUAUCAUAAUCAAGGUUUACUAAGGUCUGAUGGACAGUGUUGCUCGCCAAAUUUAAUGCUUAGGUGUAACUUUUCAUAUAAUAUUUACCAGAAUAAAAUUUAAUUAAACAACUAGUUUGUUGGUGAUUUAUCCUAUAGUGUAAGAAUACAGAUAUUAAUGAACCAACAGCUCUACCGUUAGCAGUCUGAGCUAGAAGUUGAAUUUUUAGGGUAUGUAGGAGUUUUGAAAGAAGAAAUAAAACGACUAUCAAGUGAACUCUUGUGUUUUCUUUCCUUUAGUACAUCCCUAGGUAUUAUGUAACCAGCCGGGUACAUUUCAUAGGUUUACAGGUUACAUAAUUGGCGCCCACAAGGAAUCUGUAUUUUAAAAAUCAAUUUAUAAGGAUAAACCAUCAAUUUUAAGUAUUAAAGUGGCAAACAAGACAUUUUUCAAAGUAUCUACUAUAUUCUAUAGUUGUAGACAGGGCCAACACAGUAGUAUUUGAGUAUAUUUAUAAAUAGAACCAAUUGUUGCCAA